rnacentral:antisense_RNA from 1 species
CAGUUUUGGUGACUGCGCUCCUCUAACUAGCCAGUUACCUUGGUUCAAAGAGCCGCAAACUCUACGAACCUUCGGAAAAACCGCCCCGCAAAGGCGGUUUUUUCGU